rnacentral:sRNA from 1 species
CCCAGGACUUCGUCCUGGGCUAAAUUAUGUCGCCCCUGCGGGGCU